UACAGAGACUGCAAGCGUUAUUCGGAUUCACUGGGCGUAAAGGGUGCGCAGGCGGCCGAGUGUGUGAGGCGUGAAAGCCCGGGGCUUAACCCCGGAAUUGCACCUCAAACUACACGGCUAGAGCAUUGGAGAGGGUAGCAGAAUUCACGGUGUAGCAGUGAAAUGCGUAGAUAUCGAUGAGGAAUACCAGAGGCGAAGGCGGCUACCUGGACAAUUGCUGACGCUCAGGCACGAAAGCGUGGGAG
rnacentral:rRNA from 1 species